CAGGUUUAGUACCAGGCUAUAUCACAACAUAUGUUCCAUACAGCAGGUUUAGUACCAGGCUAUAUCACAACAUAUGUUCCAUACAGCAGGUUUAGUACCAGGCUAUAUCACAACAUAUGUUCCAUACAGCAGGUUUAGUACCAGGCUAUAUCACAACAUAUGUUCCAUACAGCAGGUUUAGUACCAGGCUAUAUCACAACAUAUGUUCCAUACAGCAGGUUUAGGACCAGGCUAUAUCACAACAUAUGUUCCAUACAGCAGGUUUAGUACCAGGCUAUAUCACAACAUAUGUUCCAUACAGCAGGUUUAGUACCAGGCUAUAUCACAAAAUAUGUUCCAUACAGCAGGUUUAGUACCAGGCUAUAUCACAACAUAUGUUCCAUACAGCAGG